GAUUCCCUCUUUUUCCUUUUCUCUUCUCCCCCUUCUCCCUCCUGUGACUCGACCUGCAUAAUAAAAAAAGACAAAAAGACCCUAUUGAGCUUUACUUAAUCUUUAUUAGACUAAACUUAGCAACUUAAAAUCCUAAUAAUUACUGAGUUCUGUUGGGGCGACAAAAGAAGAAAAUAGAUCUUCUUUACCAAAUAAGGCCACAUUCCAUAAAAAAUGAUCCAAAGAUCUUGAUCAAUGAAUCUAGCUACCAUAGGGAUAACAGGCUAAUUUUCUUUAAG
rnacentral:rRNA from 1 species